UAUCAGAAGAAGCUGAUGAAGCAGCAUU
rnacentral:sRNA from 1 species